UGCACCCUUGUUAACAUGUUUUUUACCACAAAUUAUUUUACAAAGUAAGGUUAUACAAACAACAAUAUAUGUCCGGCCUUUUCUCAAUGCACGACAGAGCCUUUUCUCAACACACGGCAGAGUAGAGGCCAUGUACACAUUGUUAAAGAAUGAGAAUAUCAGUCUUAUGUAUGGCUGGAUGGAUUGUACCUGCAAAAAUUCCCUACAAAUAAACAUAUCUUCUUUGCUGAAUGUAGCUUCACCAAUCAAACCUGAAGAAUCCCAGAAAAAAUCAAUCAUAGACUUCACAUGGAAUCAAACUUCAUAUGAAGAUGAAUUGUUGCCUAAAACUGCUAGAAAAAACAUGUUCAACUGAAUUGUUUUCGGCACUGGAUCAACUCAUAAUCUUACUUAUACAUUAAAAUGUAUGAUGAUUAUAAACUGAGAUACUUUUUUAGAGCGGGUAAAAAAGAAUGUAUAGGGACUGCCAGUAGCAUAAUUGAUGGUUACAUGAAACAUCUAAAAUUUUAAGAAUCAAACAUGAUCUAAGGAAGUGACACACAUCUGCAAGUAUCUAAUAAUAAAAUCCAUAUGAAAGAUAACCUCCAUUGAUUGAAAAAUUGCGAGUUCCACUCCUUUGCUUCAAUAGCAAUGGCCACUUAGUCCAGCACAUCCCCUUUGUCCUAGAUCAGUAGAAAACAAAAAUGGAUACACAUCUAUACAGGCCUACUCCUAUCAUAGUUUAUACAUAGCAACAAACUGAGAUUACAUAUGGCUACAUAAUAAGAUUCCUUUGCAUCAUCGGUGUUCUUACUUUGAAAUAUGGUAGCGGCAAAUUGAAAGAUUCUAAUGUGUUAGUUUUGGCACAACGAGCUUCGGCCUCCUUGACAUCCAGCUGCCUAUUGGCAAGCAAUUUUUGAAUCAUCUCUGGUACACACCAUGCGCAUAGUUAGCGUGAUUAUAGCAUUGUAGGCAACAAAAAGGAAUCCAUAUGUAAUCUGAAUCUUCACUGAACUUUUUACGUUUGACCGUCCAGGACCUCGGUCACACAAAAUUUGACAGCUCAAACUUUUACCUUUACCAGUCUUCCAUCAUCCAUGGCGAAUCCAUGGCAUACUUGGCUUCACAUUGAGAUGGUUCAUCACCUUCAUCUCACACGACUUGUCACACUGCAUAUCCACAAACCAAUCCAGUUAAUGUUUGAUGACUGAAAAAAAUUUAGAGUAAAUCGACAGAUGCAUGAAUAAAUCAAUCGUUGCGUUGCAACGGGAGAAAAAAAAACAUCACAAACACGCCACCAAGCUCUAGCACCUUCGCCUACAACAUGGAAAUCAAGCAUACUCGACGCCCAUGCAAUGGGCCCCACUAUGAUCUUGCACCCUUGCGGCUCAACCGGCGACAUCGUCGGCGGGUCAAGGCAGCGGCAGAGCAGGCGCGACACAGAUGCCAUGAGCUGCUCGGCCACCUUUCCUCAAAAUACAACACAACAACAAAGGAAACUUGGCUAGAGAUCGCACUUGAACACUUAGCUGGAAUAGAGAUGAUUAAAACUUUCAAGAAUACAAAUUUGGCUGACCGUUACAGUGGGAGACGCAGUGUAUAUGACGGCGAAAACGGGCAAGGAAAAAAUAGGAAAUGAUUAAAUGUGUUUUUACCUUAUGACAACAUCCUUUUGCCCUGCAUCACAUACAGUAAUGAUGUCACAAGCAUGCUCUUGACGAGAACGAUUCACAUGUGCUAGCGACCAGCAGAGGAUGGAGAAAAGAAGGGCAGAAGAGGGAGGCUUGUAUCUAUCAAGACACCAGCAUAUAAUUCAAGCUUUGUGAAGAUACCAAUAAGAGUAAAAUCACUCAAAGCUAAUACGCAACCUUAUAGCAAUAUACUACACUGCGUAUAU
rnacentral:lncRNA from 1 species